ACGCUGGUGGCGUGCCUAAUACAUGCAAGUAGAACGCUGAAGGAGGAGCUUGCUUCUCUGGAUGAGUUGCGAACGGGUGAGUAACGCGUAGGUAACCUGCCUGGUAGCGGGGGAUAACUAUUGGAAACGAUAGCUAAUACCGCAUAAGAGUAGAUGUUGCAUGACAUUUGCUUAAAAGGUGCAAUUGCAUCACUACCAGAUGGACCUGCGUUGUAUUAGCUAGUUGGUGGGGUAACGGCUCACCAAGGCGACGAUACAUAGCCGACCUGAGAGGGUGAUCGGCCACACUGGGACUGAGACACGGCCCAGACUCCUACGGGAGGCAGCAGUAGGGAAUCUUCGGCAAUGGACGGAAGUCUGACCGAGCAACGCCGCGUGAGUGAAGAAGGUUUUCGGAUCGUAAAGCUCUGUUGUAAGAGAAGAACGAGUGUGAGAGUGGAAAGUUCACACUGUGACGGUAUCUUACCAGAAAGGGACGGCUAACUACGUG
rnacentral:rRNA from 1 species